rnacentral:rRNA from 1 species
AAUCAACGCUGGCGGCGUGCCUAACACAUGCAAGUCGAACGAGAAAGUGACUUCGGUCACUGGACAGUGGCGUCCGGGUGAGUAACACGUGGGUAAUCUACCUUCGGGUGGGGAAUAACGUCUCGAAAGAGACGCUAAUACCGCAUAAUGCAGCGGCACCUUAUGGUGAAUAGUUGUUAAAGCGGGGGAUCGCAAGACCUCGCGCCUGAAGAGGAGCCUGCGGCAGAUUAGCUAGUUGGUGAGGUAAUGGCUCACCAAGGCUGCGAUCUGUAGCUGGUCUGAGAGGACGGCCAGCCACACUGGCACUGACACGCGGGCCAGACUCCUACGGGAGGCAGCAGUGGGGAAUUUUGGGCAAUGGGCGCAAGCCUGACCCAGCAACGCCGCGU